rnacentral:rRNA from 1 species
GACGAACGCUGGCGGCGUGCUUAACACAUGCAAGUCGAACGGUGAAGCGCCUUCCUUUUUGGUGGGUGUUGAUGAGCGGCGGAGUGGUGAGUAAGACGUGAGCAUCCUGCUCCGUUCUUCUGGAUAACCGCAUGAAAGUGUAGCUAAUACGGGAUAUUCUGGGUCUGUCGCAUGAUGGGUCUGGGAAUGUUAUUGUUUCGGUUGGGGAUGGGCUCGCGGCCUAUCAGCUUGUUGGUGGGGUGAUGGCCUACCAAGGCGGGGAGCGGUAGCCGGCCUGGGAGGGUGGGCGGUCAGAGUGGGACGGAGACACGGACGAGACUACGACGGGAGGCAGCAGGGGGGAAUAUGGCACAGUGGGAGCAAGGCUGAUGCAGCGACGCCGCGUGAGGGAUGGAGGCCUGCGGGUUGUGAACCUCUUUCGCGAGUGAAGCAGGCCUGCCUCGUGUGUGGGUGGGUUGACGGUAGCUGGAUAAGAAGCGCCGGCUAACUACGUG